rnacentral:rRNA from 1 species
UCUCGGCAACGGAUAUCUCGGCUCUCGCAUCGAUGAAGAGCGUAGCGAAAUGCGAUACUUGGUGUGAAUUGCAGAAUCCCGUGAACCAUCGAGUCUUUGAACGCAAGUUGCGCCCGAAGCCUUUUGGCCGAGGGCACGUCUGCCUGGGCGUCACGCAUCGUCGC